UAAGCUGGUAGAACCGACAACAGAAAAUAAUAAAAAUAGUCAGGUUAACGAUAACAAAGAAGUUUAUGGCGAAAAUGAUGACUUUAAUCUGACAGGAGACAAUGAAGAUGAUAAUAAAUAUGAGGAAGACAUCGCCAAUCUUGCAAAAGAAUUGUCUUGUAUGGAAAGUGAAUGAUUGGGUUGCUGUUGCAUAUGAAAAACAAUGAAAUAUUGGAUAUAUUGUGGAGGUAUCUAUAACUGGGAUCAGAGUUAAUUGUAUGAUUAACGGGCAAGAGAAGAAUAUUUUUCGCUGUCCAGUUACUACCGAGGAGAUAAAUAACAAAACUGAUAAAAUUAUCUGUUUAGUAAAUGCUCCUUUUCUAAUCAGUGGUUGUGGCGAUUAUUCAUUAUCCGAAGAAGACUAUAAUACAGUCAUAUCAUUAUUCUUAGAGAAACUUACUGCAGCAGAGUAGAAAUUAUGUGUGAUGUGGUGGAUAAUGUGUGUAAAUGACUCUAUUAAUAAAUGAAAAACUAAUUUUUAAAUGGAAAAACAUUUAAAUGUUUGA